rnacentral:rRNA from 1 species
GACGAACGCUGGCGGCGGGCUUAACACAUGCAAGUCGAACGGAAAGGCGCCGCUUGCGCUUGGAGUCAGCGGAGCGAGGGAGUGACAUGCAAAGGAAUCUCCCUGGUAUUGGGGGGUAAUGUCCGGAAACGGGCGCUAAUACCGCAUGCGAUCUGAGCGGGAUGGUGGGGGUUCGUUGGACAUCGCGGGCUGAGAUGGACGUAGGGCGGAUUAGCUAGUUGGUGGGGUAAAGGCUUACCAAGGCGGUGAUCGGUAACCGGUCUGAGAGGGGGAGCAGCCACAGUGGAACGGAGACACGGUCCAGACUCCUACGGGAGGCAGCAGUGGGGAAGGGUGGACAAUGGGCGAAAGCCUGACCCAGCGACGGCGCGUGUGUGAAGAAGGGCCUCGGAGGGUAAAGCACCCUUAGGGGUGAAGAACGGCUGUAGGUUAAGACCUGGCUGUUGUGACGGUACCAACAGAAGAAGCACCGGCUAACUACGUG